ACCUGGAGACUCUGUCAGAAACUUCCAAACUAGAAGAUGCUAGGGGCUAUCGGAACGCACGGUGUAGGGGUGAAAUCCGUUGAUAUCGUGCGGAACACCAAAAGCGAAGGCAGAUAGCUGGGGCAAUCUUGACGCUGAGGAACGAAAGCGUGGGGAGCAAAAAGGAUUAGAUACCCUUGUAGUCCACGCCCUAAACUUUGGACACUGGUUGCUUGAAGUGUCGACCCUUCAAGUGGCGAAGCUAACGCGUUAAGUGUCCCGCCUGGGAAGUACGGCCGCAAGGCUAAAACUCAAAGGAAUAGACGGGGGCUCACACAAGCGGUGGAUCAUGUGGCUCAAUUCGACAACAAACGAGUAACCUUACCUAGUUUUGACAGACUGGCGAACAUUCCGUGAAAGCGGAACUUCCCACAAGGACGCCAGCCCAGGUGCUG
rnacentral:rRNA from 1 species